rnacentral:rRNA from 1 species
AUUGAACGCUGGCGGAAUGCUUUACACAUGCAAGUCGAGCGGCAGCGCGGGGGCAACCCUGGCGGCGAGCGGCGAACGGGUGAGUAAUACAUCGGAACGUGUCCUUGAGUGGGGGAUAGCUCGGCGAAGGCCGGAUUAAUACCGCAUAAGCUCUGAGGAGGAAAGCGGGGGACUGGUAACGGCCUCGCGCUGUUGGAGCGGCCGAUGUCGGAUUGGCUAGUUGGUGGGGAAAGGCCCACCAAGGCGACGAUCCGUAGCUGGUCUGAGAGGAUGAUCAGCCACACUGGAACUGAGACACGGUCCAGACUCCUACGGGAGGCAGCAGUGGGAAUUUGGACAAUGGGGGCAACCUGAUCCAGCCAUUCCGCGUGAGUGAAGAAGGCCU